rnacentral:rRNA from 1 species
AGCACCGGCUAACUACGUGCCAGCAGCCGCGGUAAUACGUAGGGUGCAAGCGUUAUCCGGAAUUAUUGGGCGUAAAGGGCUCGUAGGCGGUUCGUCGCGUCCGGUGUGAAAGUCCAUCGCUUAACGGUGGAUCCGCGCCGGGUACGGGCGGGCUUGAGUGCGGUAGGGGAGACUGGAAUUCCCGGUGUAACGGUGGAAUGUGUAGAUAUCGGGAAGAACACCAAUGGCGAAGGCAGGUCUCUGGGCCGUUACUGACGCUGAGGAGCGAAAGCGUGGGGAGCGAACAGGAUUAGAUACCCUGGUAGUCCACGCCGUAAACGGUGGAUGCUGGAUGUGGGGCCCGUUCCACGGGUUCCGUGUCGGAGCUAACGCGUUAAGCAUCCCGCCUGGGGAGUACGGCCGCAAGGCUAAAACUCAAAGAAAUUGACGGGGGCCCGCACAAGCGGCGGAGCAUGCGGAUUAAUUCGAUGCAACGCGAAGAACCUUACCUGGGCUUGACAUGUUCCCGACGGUCGUAGAGAUGCGGCUUCCCUUCGGGGCGGGUUCACAGGUGGUGCAUGGUCGUCGUCAGCUCGUGUCGUGAGAUGUUGGGUUAAGUCCCGCAACGAGCGCAACCCUCGCCCCGUGUUGCCAGCGGAUUAUGCCGGGAACUCACGGGGGACCGCCGGGGUUAACUCGGAGGAAGGUGGGGAUGACGUCAGAUCAUCAUGCCCCUUACGUCCAGGGCUUCACGCAUGCUACAAUGGCCGGUACAACGGGAUGCGACGCGGCGACGCGGAGCGGAUCCCUGAAAACCGGUCUCAGUUCGGAUCGCAGUCUGCAACUCGACUGCGUGAAGGCGGAGUCGCUAGUAAUCGCGAAUCAGCAACGUCGCGGUGAAUGCGUUCCCGGGCCUUGUACACACCGCCCGUCAAGUCAUGAAAGUGGGCAGCACCCGAAGCCGGUGGCCUAACCCCUUGUGGGAUGGAGCCGUCUAAGGUGAGGCUCGUGAUUGGGACUAAGUCGUAACAAGGUAGCCGUACCGGAAGGUGCGGCUG